AAACCUGGGAGCAGGGGUUGGAGAUGGAGCUUUUGCAUUCCCUGAGCUCUUUCAUAUUCCCCUGGAGCAGGUCAUUGUCUCUCGUGUCAGCUCCUCCCAGCUCUUGGAACAGCACUGGAUGCUACAAUGGGACAAACCCAAGGGGCUGGAAAGGGGUAAGAAUUUUCCUGGAGAGGGAAGGAAAAUCUGCAGAUAAAUAAAUUCUCCCUCUUCUGGUUUCAGUUAAAUCACUGUGAGUGAGCAGCACACUUUAGGGGUUAUUUGUGGUUAUAUUUUCCAGUUUGUCUAAAUAAAUAGCUUGGUUUUCAAAACACAAACAUGUGAAGUGGCAGGAAGUUUUGGCUUUCUCUGUGUUUGUUUAGCAGCACAGCUCCUGCUGCCACGAAAACAAACUCCAGCUACUUCUGUUUGCUGGGAAAAGACAAAGUGCUUUCAACUGGGAUAAGAAGAGGCAGCCUUUUACCCCAGGAAAGCCCACCUGAGUUCAUACCCAGAGAGACACAGGGAUCCUUUGGAGCAGGGAGGGAUCCAGAGGGCACUGGCAUCCAGCAGAAAAGGCUGAGGAUUGUGGCACCAGGUGGAUACAGGGAAUGGUUCUUCACAGAGGAUAAUUGAACCUGGUCUAUUAACCAGGAAUUCUUUCCCACCAUCACUGCACUGAAGGUGUCAUUAUGGGAUAGAAGGAACGACGAGGUUCAGCACAACACUUAAGAAUGGAAUUGUCAGCACUGUACCUGUUCCUGAGGAAGUCGUGUCUCCCACCCGCUGCCAUCCCAUAGAAGAGCCCCCAAAACCUGGGCCCAGAGCUGGGAGGACACUAAACUUCCAAUCUCAUUACAGCUGGAAACUCUGACCUGUUUAAAGUCAGCUAAAGGGAUUUUUUUCAGAAUUUAAAGCUGCAUUUUUUUUCCUAAAUCUGC